GCCCUUGUGGCAAAAUGGUAAGCACUCAGCUGCUAACCAAAAGGUGGUGGUUUGAACCCACCCAGCAGCU
rnacentral:tRNA from 1 species